rnacentral:lncRNA from 1 species
AUGGGUGCAUGCAAAUAUAUCCAGGAGCUAUGGAGGAAGAAGCAGUCUGACAUGAUGAGCUUUCUUCUGAGGGUCCAUUGCUGGCAACACUACCAGCUCUCUGAGCUGUCCCACCCCGUCUGUUAAAGCACAAAGACUGGGAUACAAGACUAGGCAACGUUAUAUCAUUUAGAGGAUUCGUGUCUGACAUGGUGGUCGCAAACGUCUGGUUCCUAAGGGUGCAACUUACAGCAAGCCUCUCCAUCUCCAUGCCAACCAGCUGAAAUUUGCCUGAAUCCUUCAGUCUGUUGCUGAGGAGAGAGCUGGGCACCAUUGUGGGGUUUGGGGAGUCCUGAAUUCCUACUGGGUUGGUGAAGAUUUCACAUAUAAAUUUUUUGAGGUUAUCCUUAUUGAUCCAUUUCAUAAAGCUAUCAGAAGAAAUCCUGACAUCCAGUGAAUCACCAGACCAGUCCACAAGCACAGAGAGAUGCACGUACUGACAUCUGCUGGCCAAAAGAGCGUUGGCCUUGGGAAGGGCCACAAGUUCCACCACACUAUUGGUGGUUCUCAAUGUGCAGCCUGGAGAAGGUGCAAUACUCUCCAGCUCCACCGUUACCGCUAAUACAUGUGAUUUCUGUAAAAUUUGUAUCCAAUAAACAAUUUAGGACA